rnacentral:rRNA from 1 species
UACGUAGGGUGCAAGCGUUGUCCGGAAUUAUUGGGCGUAAAGAGCUCGUAGGCGGUUGUCGCGUCGAAUGUGAAAACCCGGGGCUCAACCCCGGGCCUGCAUUCGAUACGGGCAGACUAGAGUUCGGUAGGGGAGUCUGGAAUUCCUGGUGUAGCGGUGAAAUGCGCAGAUAUCAGGAGGAACACCGGUGGCGAAGGCGGGACUCUGGGCCGAUACUGACGCUGAGGAGCGAAAGCGUGGGGAGCAAACAGG